rnacentral:rRNA from 1 species
AGAGUUUGAUCAUGGCUCAGAGCGAACGCUGGCGGCAGGCCUAAAACAUGCAAGUCGAACGAACCCUUUGGGGUUAGUGGCGGACGGGUGAGUAACACGUGGGAACGUGCCCUUUGGUUCGGAACAACUCAGGGAAACUUGAGCUAAUACCGGAUGUGCCCUUCGGGGGAAAGAUUUAUCGCCAUUGGAGCGGCCCGCGUCUGAUUAGCUAGUUGGUGAGGUAGAGGCUCACCAAGGCUACGAUCAGUAGCUGGUCUGAGAGGAUGAUCAGCCACACUGGGACUGAGACACGGCCCAGACUCCUACGGGAGGCAGCAGUUAGGAAUCUUGCGCAAUGGGCGAAAGCCUGACGCAGCCAUGCCGCGUGAAUGAUGAAGGUCUUAGGAUUGUAAAAUUCUUUCAGCGGGGACGAUAAUGACGGUACCCGCAGAAGAAGCUCCGGCUAACUUCGUGCCAGCAGCCGCGGUAAUACGAAGGGGGCUAGCGUUGCUCGGAAUUACUGGGCGUAAAGGGCGCGUAGGCGGACAGCUAAGUCAGAGGUGAAAGCCCAGGGCUCAACCUUGGAACUGCCUUUGAUACUGGCUGUCUUGAGUUCGGGAGAGGUGUGUGGAACUCCGAGUGUAGAGGUGAAAUUCGUAGAUAUUCGGAAGAACACCAGUGGCGAAGGCGACACACUGGCCCGAUACUGACGCUGAGGCGCGAAAGCGUGGGGAGCAAACAGGAUUAGAUACCCUAGUAGUCC